GCGUGGAAGGGGCGUGGAAGAGGGCGUGGCCAAGUUGUUAUCAAUAUAUUUACAAGGGACUAAGGAGGUUAGAAAGUCUUAACUAAAGAGGAAAAAAAAAGUUCAAAAAAAUCGCCAAAAAAAAUAAAAAUUUUUGAAAAAGUA